GCACUGCUGACGUGUCCCACAAAACAGGACGAAACAGUUGUCCAGUGA
rnacentral:hammerhead_ribozyme from 1 species